ACAGGGCUUCUAGACUACAUGGAGUAAGAGGGAUAAACUACCUCAGUGGUGUAUCAACCACACUCCAAAGUCUAAGCAAAAGCAAAGCUAGCAAGCAACUAAUGUACCUGUACAAAAGCUUAACAAUUAGUAUCUCAGACAACCAAUCAGAAAACACACAGUGAAACUAUCCAAUAUCUACACAAUGUAAGUCAUAAGUGCAAGCAACUCAAGUGAGUUCAUCACAUCAAUGGACCUACAACACAACCAGAGUUAGUAAUCAAAGCAACUUGCAU
rnacentral:lncRNA from 1 species